UGCGUGUCACGGCCCCCACCCGGGCCACGGCGCGUCGUCGGCGGGCUGCGCUGCGGCGGGGCCUGGGGCGCGGGAUGGAGCGGCCGGCCUGGCGGGCCCGUGUCCUUGUGCGCGUCCGCGCGCUGCCCCCGCGGCCCAGGCUGGGGACGUCUCGCGCCGCUCGGCCUGCAGUCCCCCGGCCUUGCUCUAAUGCGAAACUUGUCGUUGGACUUGAGGGUUUGAACCCCGAUGUGCCAGCCAUCCUGGUGUUACUACGGCUCGGGGAAGCUGGCGCUACUAUUGUUCGUGUGUGUUGUGAUGCGAAGGGUGGGAGACUCGCAAACCUCCUACCUCAGGCCAGGUUCCCUGCCUGGCGCUCAUCCCUCGGAUUUGGAAUUGGCGACAGAUUUGCUGCCGUGAUUUCGUGGACUGUUAUGUACGGUUUCUUAUUUGCUCUUAAUGAUGGGAUCAUGUGCUCAACUGUCAUAAGUUUAGAUCGGGUUUUGCUGUGCCUUAAAAAAAAAACACCCACUAAAGUUCCAAAAUGUUAAUGUUUAAUAUCUGUUCAGUAUUCACCGGCUCACCCCGAGAAGGCCACUAACGUGCUGUGGUGGGUGGGGAGGGGCCGCUGUCUCGGGUUUAUAUUUGGAGCAUGCAGCGUGGUGAACUUUGUGUGUGUGUGUGUGUGUGUGUGUGUGUGUGUGUGUGUGUAACGGUUUUGUGAGGGCCGGCAGCCAGAAAGUAAAUUCAUUCGUGCCAAUUUCAUCAGCAGGGAGGAGCCGAUGUUGACUUUAUGCUUUCCUUUUUAACACUUGCAGGGCACAGAAGGGAAUAAAGGAUGGGGCUGUGGCGUGGUGUUAGCUGCCUUUCCCGUGGUCCACGGACUAUGUCUCUAUGUCAGAUCUGGGGUUCUGCAGGGUAUCCCAAUGAUCCGUAGAGUUAAACAGCCCCAUAGCAGAAGGAGGCUGCUUCCUGGACUCUGUGCUGAGCAGACACUGUUCCACCUGGUUGAAGAUGUGAGGGCGUCGCUAGUACCCCAGAGGGCCGAGAGGUAGGCCAUACAGAGUAGGCCCACGGGGGAACACUGUUGAGAUGUACAGUGGUGGGUAAAGUGUGUGCUGUGGACAGUGCUCGAGGGGAUGAAGUCUGUAUUAGAAAACAUUUGCUGGAGUUAUUUGAUUGUGUCGAUGCUCAGAUGGGUUUUCUCCCUCACUCAUCAGCCCCUCAGAGCUCUAGUCUGUCAUCCUCACUGCUGUUGUAUGAUUCCCAGCACCCAUCACCCAUGUAUCAUCUCAAACAAGCAGUUCUGCUCUGUCUGCAUCUCUUCCAUCAGGACUCAUGGGGAGAGGAUUCUUUAAAUUAGUUUUCAUGGAAACAUCGGAAAAUAUUGUGGAAACACGUAGAAUUUUCAGUGCCCAGUUCCUACAGAGGAGGAUGGAAAAAACAAGUCUGUUUUAAGUGUCAUCACGGUAUCUCUGUUAGCAAAGGGGAGCCCCUGAACUCCACAGCACUGCUCACCUCCCCCUGUCAGCCUGGAAAUAAGCUCGUAUUUGCCUCUCUGAAUCUGGGGCAGUGUUCUGAAUGUGCAUCCCGGCCCCCUCCUAUGCUGGGAGCGGCCACUCAUGGUCCCUUACGAACGUGUACAUGGGACACACUGCCCUGCUCGAUGGCACUCACCUGCCACCAGCUGUCGCUCUCGGAGGGUGAGUAAUAUGUUCCUGCUGCCCAGAGGAUGGCAAAACCACUUUAGACCAACGUGUGCUCAACCCCAUUCUCUGAACAGAUUUUAUAAAAGGGCUUAAUGAAUUUCUCAUUGAGUGUCUGGGCAGAGAAAGGGAUGUGUGUGUUUGCAUUCAGGAAGCACAUUAUUGUUUUUCUUUCUACAUAAACCUUGCUAGGCCUGGCCUGAAGAAUGAAAGAAUCAGAGGUUUGUGGCAUCAGCUGGUGUAGCCUCAGCCCCUCUGUGCCACCCCUACCCCCUUGUCUUGCUUUGUCCCUGCUGAGUUGAUAGAGUUGCUCUUUAAGGUCCUUUGGAAUUUCAGGUCUUAUAAGCACAUAAGCGGUUUUACUGGCUUAAAUGAAAUGAACCGGGUUGUUUUCCAGUAUUGCUCAGGAGAAAUCAACGAGUGGAAGGAUCAGAAAUCUGUAUCUCUCUACAUUUUGGAACUUAAAAAAUGCCCCAGCGUACCCGCUUCCACAGUGAAAAGUUAAAACAAGCCUUCGUGCCGAAUUACUUAAGUAUAUUGCUUUCACAUUUCCUGUUCCAUCAGGACUCAUGGGGAGAGGAUUCUUUAAAUUAGUUUUCAUGGAAAUAUUGGAAAAAAUUGUGGAAACAUGUGGAAUUUUCAGUGCUCGGUUCCUACAGAGGAGGAUGGAAAAAACAAGUCUGUUUUCAGCGCAUCACGUCGGUUGAAAAAACAGGGUUGGAACUGUUUCUGUGCCUAAUGAAGAGAUUGAAGACCAUGGGCAGAUCUAGCUAGUUGUGUCAGCACCAGAGCCAGGGAUUCCUUGCACACCCGUCUGCAAUCACGCACGAUUAUUAUUAUGUUUUUACUGAAUUGUUUAGUUAGUCAAGUCAUAGAUUUUUCUAUUUGUUAGAGAAAAUUUGUAACAUUUAAAAUAAAAAAACUGCCUGAACAUC